GAUGAAGAACGUAGCGAAAUGCGAUAAGUAAUGUGAAUUGCAGAAUUCAGUGAAUCAUCGAAUCUUUGAACGCACAUUGCGCCCGCCAGUAUUCUGGCGGGCAUGCCUGUCUGAGCGUCAUUUCAACCCUAAUGCCCCUAGGGCGUGGUGUUGGGGAUCGGCCAAAGCCCGCGAGGGACGGCCGGCCCCUAAAUCUAGUGGCGGACCCGUCGUGGCCUCCUCUGCGAAGUAGUGAUAUUCCGCAUCGGAGAGCGACGAGCCCCUGCCGUUAAACCCCCAACUUUCCAAGGUUGACCUCAGAUCAGGUAGGAAUACCCGCUGAACUUAAGCAUAUCAAUAAGCGGAGGA
rnacentral:misc_RNA from 1 species